GUGCUUGUCUAAUCUACUGUAGCUGUAGUAUUUUUAAAUAAGAUAAGGAAUCUCUCUCUUUUUCAAUGACUAUGUUUUGAAUAUACCUUCAACAGAGGAUGCAGAAGCUGUCUUUGCAUAAUCUCAAAAAUAUGCAGAUGGAGGAAAGAGGUCUGGAAAAGCAACAAACCAUGGAAUGGGGGAGAGGCAAAUUCCCUUCGUUUUCUGUACCAUCGAUCCAAUGAUAGUCCAUCUACUUUUUUCCAGCAUCAAAGUAAUUGAAUGGCAGGCAGC